CGGGCUACCAAGCCUGCGGCGGGAUGUUGCGUUAAGGGAAAGGUCGUUUGUAAGCCCUGCACUACAUAGCCUAAGUUUGGCUUGAAUUUCUCACUGUAUCCUAACGGAUGCAACGGCUCCACAGAGGGUGUCAGACCCGUGAGGCUAUGUGAUUAAAUGUGCGUGGGUUCGGCUUUAUUCCCUGAGAGUCGCGUUGCUUGAGCAUGCAGCGCUAAGCAGGUCGUAAACUCGACCUAAGGCUAAAUAUAUUCACAGAACCGAUAGCGAACAAGUACCGUGAGGGAAAGUUGAAAAGUACUCUGAAGAGAGAGUCAAAAGACCGUGAAACCGCUUAGAGUAUAAGCCAAUGGCUAUCUGGAAUGCUGGUGCUACCCGAUGAAAUGGUCCCCGAUUGUGGGGAACGUGGUAGGGUAUCGUUGGGCGAGAGAUCAUGAAGGCUGACAGGGCAAUCGAACCGAAAAGUGGCAUUGAGUUGAUAUCACGGCAACCAGAUCUCGCGGGCUACUGACAGUGGUAACAGGGAAUGUUCUAAUGAGGAACUGAACCGAGGCUGGGCUUGGGGCGAGCGUCAGUUUUGAAGCUCACAAACGAUUUGCAUUCUAAACAGCACACCACAAUACUUUAUAAGGUCUCCCUCGUGGGGGGGUUGUCGAGUCGCGUCUUGUGUUCUCUAACAUCACGGUGUGAUAUGGCGUGUGUAUCUAUCUCUCUCUGAGCAAGUACUCUUCUGGUGAACAGAGGGGAACGCGGGAGUAGAUAUGCUAGAGAGCCGGCCGACAUUGCCCUGCCAGUCCAGUCGCGAGUGGAAUGAUCCUAUGUGAAGAUUGAAUUCUGACCAUCCGAUACCCGAUAGGAGGCUCUCCAGGCCUCCGAAGCGGAAUCAGCGCGUUUGUGGCUGCGCCUCGUUAWUUGUCUAAUCGAACGAGGGUCUCUGGGGGCAGUGCUYGUCAAUGCCUGCUUGUCCGUCUCUGGAGACUCAGACAGCGAUUAWUAAUGGGCUGUGUGCGGUUGUGGAAGUUGUGGUAAAGGAUGUUUGGUGCGUUAUUCCAGAGCCAUCGGUCACGUCUCGAAACACGGGCCAAGGAGCAUAGCAUGUGCGCAAGUCUAAGGGAUAAGAAAUCCUGGAGGCAGAGUGAAAGCAAAUGGUGUGUUUACGAGUGUGUGUGUAAGCACACGCGCGUAUUCAGUCUGUGAUUAGCGUAAUUCCUAUAGACUCCUUCGGGGGUUUAUGGAUGAAUGCGCAUCACUGCUUAAACCGGGUUGAUCCUAAGGUAAUCAAGCCACAUGGCGAUACCUGGGCGCAGACCCCAGGCUCUUUUGUUUACGAGGGUAUUUAUAUCCUUCAGAGAGAGCACUGCAGAGCGUGCAUGUUAUAACCCGAAA
rnacentral:rRNA from 1 species